rnacentral:rRNA from 1 species
UACGUAGGGGGCAAGCGUUAUCCGGAUUUACUGGGUGUAAAGGGAGCGUAGGCGGCUUAGUAAGUCAGAAGUGAAAGCCCGCAGCUCAACUGCGGGACUGCUUUUGAAACUGCCAGGCUAGAGUGUCGGAGAGGUAAGUGGAAUUCCUAGUGUAGCGGUGAAAUGCAUAGAUAUCACGCAGAACUCCGAUUGCGAAGGCAGCUUACUAAGCCAUAACUGACACUGAAGCACGAAAGCGUGGGGAUCAAACAGG